UACGUAGGGUGCAAGCGUUGUCCGGAAUUAUUGGGCGUAAAGAGCUCGUAGGCGGUCUGUCGCGUCUGCUGUGAAAACUCGGGGCUUAACCCCGGGCCUGCAGUGGGUACGGGCAGACUAGAGUGCGGUAGGGGAGACUGGAAUUCCUGGUGUAGCGGUGAAAUGCGCAGAUAUCAGGAGGAACACCGGUGGCGAAGGCGGGUCUCUGGACAGUUCCUGACGCUGAGGUGCGAAAGCGUGGGGAGCAAACAGG
rnacentral:rRNA from 1 species